rnacentral:rRNA from 1 species
UACGUAGGGGGCGAGCGUUGUCCGGAAUCAUUGGGCGUAAAGCGCGUGUAGGCGGCUUGGUAAGUCCGGUGUGAAACCUUGGGGCUCAACCCCAAGCCUGCACUGGAUACUGCCUCGCUUGAGUCCGGGAGGGGAGAGCGGAAUUCCUAGUGUAGCGGUGAAAUGCGCAGAUAUUAGGAAGAACACCGGAGGCGAAGGCGGCUCUCUGGAACGGUACUGACGCUGAGACGCGAAAGCGUGGGGAGCGAACAGG